rnacentral:rRNA from 1 species
ACCAGACUCCUACGGGAGGCAGCAGUGGGGAAUAUUGCACAAUGGGGGAAACCCUGAUGCAGCAACGCCGCGUGAGUGAAGAAGUAUUUCGGUAUGUAAAGCUCUAUCAGCAGGGAAGAAGAUGACGGUACCUGAAUAAGAAGCCCCGGCUAACUACGUGCCAGCAGCCGCGGUAAUACGUAGGGGGCAAGCGUUAUCCGGAUUUACUGGGUGUAAAGGGAGCGCAGACGGCAGUGCAAGUCUGGAGUGAAAGCCCGGGGCCCAACCCCGGGACUGCUCUGGAAACUGUGCGGCUAGAGUGCUGGAGGGGCAGGCGGAAUUCCUAGUGUAGCGGUGAAAUGCGUAGAUAUUAGGAGGAACACCAGUGGCGAAGGCGGCCUGCUGGGCUUUUACUGACGCUGAGGCUCGAAAGUGUGGGGAGCAAACAGGAUUAGAUACCCUCGUAGU